rnacentral:rRNA from 1 species
AUUGAACGCUGGCGGCAUGCCUUACACAUGCAAGUCGAACGGCAGCGCGGACUUCGGUCUGGCGGCGAGUGGCGAACGGGUGAGUAAUACAUCGGAACGUACCCUGUUGUGGGGGAUAACUAGUCGAAAGAUUAGCUAAUACCGCAUACGACCUGAGGGUGAAAGUGGGGGAUCGCAAGGCCUCACGCAGCAGGAGCGGCCGAUGUCUGAUUAGCUAGUUGGUGGGGUAAAGGCCCACCAAGGCGACGAUCAGUAGCUGGUCUGAGAGGACGAUCAGCCGCACUGGGACUGAGACACGGCCCAGACUCCUACGGGAGGCAGCAGUGGGGAAUUUUGGACAAUGGGGGCAACCCUGAUCCAGCAAUGCCGCGUGUGUGAAGAAGGCCUUCGGGUUGUAAAGCACUUUUGUCCGGAAAGAAAUCGCGCUGGUUAAUACCUGGCGUGGAUGACGGUACCGGAAGAAUAAGCACCGGCUAACUACGUG